UACGUAGGGACCGAGCGUUGUCCGGAAUCAUUGGGCGUAAAGAGCGUGUAGGCGGCCACUUAAGUCCUGCGUGAAAUCUUGCGGCUCAACCGCAAGCGGUCGUGGGAAACUGGGUGGCUAGAGUGCGGGAGAGGAGAGUGGAAUUCCUGGUGUAGCGGUGAAAUGCGCAGAUAUCAGGAAGAACACCCGUGGCUAAGGCGGCUCUCUAGUACGGUACUGACGCUGAGACGCGAAAGCGUGGGGAGCAAACAGG
rnacentral:rRNA from 1 species